AUUAGAUGUCUCUGUCUAUUUUGGUAUUUUAAUUUCUUUUUAGGAAAGCAAAAUUUGUCUCUGUUGUAGACCUAUCUAUAUCAUUAUUAUUAUUUUCUAACGGUUGUUGCGAAAGCUUGUAUUAGGUAUUCUCCAUUUGUUUGUUUAUCAACAACGUUAACUUCUUUUGGUUAAUUUACGUAUAAUCAUCAGAUGAAUCAUAAAGAUAUCCAAUUAAGCAAAACUUUAUCGUGGCUUUUACGACACGGAGCUACUAAUGAAGGUUUAACACUGAAUCGAAAUACAGCACAGUAGUUCAUGGUACAUACUACAAAUGUUGGCCACAGAUAAAGUG